rnacentral:rRNA from 1 species
CUGCAGAAGAAGCACCGGCUAACUCCGUGCCAGCAGCCGCGGUAAUACGGAGGGUGCGAGCGUUAAUCGGAAUUACUGGGCGUAAAGCGCAUGCUAGGUGGUUUGUUAAGUCAGAUGUGAAAGCCCGGGGCUCAACCUCGGAAUUGCAUUUGAAACUGGCAAACUAGAGUACUGUAGAGGGGGUAGAAUUUCAGGUGUAGCGGUGAAAUGCGUAGAGAUCUGAAGGAAUACCGGUGGCGAAGGCGGCCCCCCUGGACAGAUACUGACACUCAGAUGCGAAAGCGGUGGGGAGACAAACAGGAUUAGACUACCCUGGUAG